AUACGUAGGGUGCGAGCGUUGUCCGGAUUUAUUGGGCGUAAAGAGCUCGUAGGCGGUUUGUCGCGUCUAUCGUGAAAACCGGGAGCUUAACUCCUGGCUUGCGGUGGAUACGGGCAGACUUGAGUUCGGUAGGGGAGACUGGAAUUCCUGGUGUAGCGGUGAAAUGCGCAGAUAUCAGGAGGAACACCGGUGGCGAAGGCGGGUCUCUGGGCCGAUACUGACGCUGAGGAGACGAAAGCGGUGGGGAGAC
rnacentral:rRNA from 1 species